UUAAGUUUGCUACCUUAAAGCUAUGGACCCAUUUCAAGAUUACUGAAGUUUUUUUUUAUACUUUUACUCCAGUUUGUCAUAUAAAGAGAGAGGAAACUUCAUUCACUGUAUUGUAACUAUUGGUUUGUCUUUUGCAGAAAGUAUAUCAUCACACAGACAGUCUCUAAUCAGCCAGGAAAGGACAAGCUUGGGUUCCAGUAGCAGAUUGUCAGAGAUCUUUACAACUUUCCAGAGUCGUUUGUCAAAUGACUACUCUGGGAUUCUUGAUGUAAGUGACUCCUGUUUGCUGUCACUGUCCAUGGAAGAUUUUAAUGCCUGAAGAAUUAGUGAUGCACAGUAUUACAUUUGAAAAGAUAUAAAAUACCAUGUACAUAUAUGGUAAGUCCAUACUGAGGCAAUAACUUGAUUAUGUACUUGUGAUGCAAAUGUAAGAUUGACUGGCUUUGUAAAACCUAGUCAGUACCUUUACAUUGUAGUCCAGACCAAUGUUAAUAAGUAGGGUAUAUUAUAUAAUCUUUGUCUUCCUUUAAUUGUGUAUAUUGUCUAAAAUACUAGUUAAAAUAAAAUGCUUGAAUGAUUAAAUACUUUAAUAUAAACCACUUCAGUUCAAGUUUGGGAGAGUAGAGAAGAGUUUUACCAUCCUAAAUGUUAGUGUAUAAUAAUUGUGUGAGGAUAAUAAAGUGGAAUCUUUUACAAAAUCUAUAUUUAAGCAGGUAACAUUAAAGCUAUUGUGCUUUCCAGUUAGUUGAAGCAGUUGGGGUAAUUGUUUUUAUACAUUAAAUAAUGAAUGAUGUACAGCAACUUGUUAUAUCUGAAAAUAUUUUUUAUUAUUAUUUAGUUAAGGUAAUUGUUUGUUUUCUGGCUUGCAUUUUUUUUUUUAUCUUAUUUUUGCUGGUUGACUAGUUACAGUAAAAGUCUGAUAAAUGGACUCCCAUAAAGUGGAUGUUAGAUAAAACAGACAAAAAAAUGUGGGAGGACAAAGGCUCAACAUGUACAUUUAACAGGAUGUCCAAUUAAAAUAGCCAUGAUGUGAACCAAAUCCACAAUGUCGAACAGCUGUCCAGUCCAGUCAUAUGCUCAAUAUAAUGCACUAACUCUAUUUAAUCACAACUUUGUAUAAUCCAUGCUUUGUCCAGGACCUGUCCAUUUUCAUUGUGGUUGUACAGGUAAACCUCUUGUGUCAAACUGGAAAUUGUUGCCAGAGACAAAUAAUUGUUUAUAAGAAGUGCAUACAGGGCAGUGAGGGCAAGGAAGAGCAGGCAAUCAGGGAAGCAGUCAAACAGCCAGCCAGCUUGUUAAAAAGAAUUGCAGACUUGAUAUUUACAUUCUUGUCUCAAGUCUUCUGGGUCUGGUACACUAAUCACUAGUACAUAGUCUGUCGCCCAUGUCCAGUACAAGUACAGUAUUCCUCUCUGCCUUCCUUUCCUCGCUUCCUCCUACUCCCAAAACACCCUCCACAAUUACUCCAUUCAAAAUAGGCAAGCAGGCAGACUCAAUAUUUCCAUUGAGAGAGGGAGGAGCAGAAGAGAGACAGAUUUAGAGAUAUCAAAGCUUGCUUGCAUUAAUUUUUUCUUCAUAUGUCCAGUGUUGUCAUCAGUACAGCAAACUAAGUGUUUUAUCAGACAUUUGUCCAUGUCCAGUAGUCGAUCAGUUAAACUGACUACAUUUACUUAAUUGAAACAUUCGAUGUAAUGGAAUUUUCGAUAAACUGGAUACCCCCUUUUCCCUAUUAGUCUAUUUUAUGGGACUUUUACUGUAAUGCAGUUCAUUUUGGAUUAUGAUGCUUGUACCAUUGGCUUUUUUUUUUUUUUGUUAUAGAGACAGGUAUUCUUAACCAUAUACAGGUCUCCCUCAACAUUCGCAUUUUUAACUUUCGUGGGCUUCACACAUUCGCGAAUUCCCAGCCACCAAAUCGUAUUUAAGUUUCCCGCCACCCGCUCGUCCCUACUGCCCUCCCUCCAACUAGCAGCCAGCCCACCUAGACUCAUCAUGCCAUGCAGUUAAGUAAGUUUAUUCAGGUAUACACAAAUACAGUUACACUGAUUAUCAUACAUAGCAGCAUAUGUGUAAAGUACCUAGGUUAACCCAAAAAAGUUCCUCUCUAUAUAAUCACCUCCAUUCAACUGUCAUCAGUAACUGCAUGGCUAUCAUUAUUUGGCUAACUGUUUAUUGUUUGUUAUUAAACUACAUUAUAAAUAAUGUCAACCCAUUCAUGACUGCAUAUUGGAAUGGCCAUUCGGACAGGUAUUGGACGGUGACAUCGUUUGUUUACUCUUGAACCAUGGGCCCAAAGAAACUUGCUAGUGCCAACCCUUUGGUAAAGAAAUUGUACAAAAAUAUGAGGCAGUGGUAUUUAAUAACAUACAUGUUAUUAAACCAUAACAUGUAUGUAUAUAGUACAAUAUUUUAAGAUGUUUUCAUGUAUAUUUUAUGAUUGUUCAUGGUUCAAUAGGUUAAGGAAGCAAUAUUGUAUUAUAUUUCCCUACAAUAUAUUGGGGCACCAAACAUUCGCGAUUUUUCAACAUUCGCGAGGUUCUUGAUCCCCUAACCCUCGCGAAUGUUGAGGGAGAUCUGUAUAUUAUAUUAGUGGUAUAUUUAUAUGCUACUAACUGCACCAUCUGUAUAGUCAUGUUUAUAUACUUUAUAGUCUGCAAACUGUUGAAGGUAAAUCUUACGAAAUGUGUUGAUAUGCAAAGGAUGUAACAGAAGGACCUACUGGCCUGUGCGUUCUUCCAUUUGCACUUACGGAUUUGUCCAACCUGUUUUUAAAGUUAUAUUGCUAUAGUGAAUGCAUGGCAGUUUGUGGCACCCAUUUGCAACUGUAUUACUAAAUAUUAUAACACUAAUGGUAUACAAUACCAAGUUGAUGAAUUAGAUAUGUAUGCAACACCUGGGCAAUACAUGUUACAUGUGUAUUGCCACACUAAUGCUCAUUUAUAAUAUUUUUAAAUAUUAAUUUUAAUUUAUCUAGUUUGAAUUCAUUGUUGUAAACUCCACUUUAAUUGGAUAUUUUCAGCAUUGAAAUUCAGGAUUACAUAUUGGUAGAACUAAAAAAUAUAUUAGUAGCAAUUGAAGCUAUUGGACAGCCUUGAACUGAGGUAACAGACACCUACCCACAUACUGUUUUGGUCUCUUGUCAUCUAAGAGAAGAAGAGCUGCAUAAUUUAUCAAAAAUAUGAUAUGAAACAUCUAAAACACUUUGCAUCUCUUUGUAUUUGAAGCAUUGUAUAGAACAGCUAUUCCUCAGAGCAUAAGUUUUAAGUUAUCUUGGUAGCUCAUGUGUUUCAACUUAAGAGGACCAAUUUCUCAAAUGUAAAAAUGAGAUGUCUCUAUUCUUAUUUAUUGAUUUAAAUAUUCAUACUCUUUAUACUAAGAGUGACAUCCAGGAUAUUGUACACCUAUUUUCUGACAUUUCUUUCUUUUAUAAAAUGCUAAAAUUGUGAAUAUCAUCUCUUAUUCCAGCCAAAGCAAUUUUUUGUUUUUAAAUAUUUUUCCUCAGA